AGGACGAACGCUGGCGGCGUGCGUAACACAUGCAAGUCGAACGAGCACAGCAAUGUGCGAGUGGCGGACGGGUGAGGAACACGUGGCUACCAACCACCAUCUGGGGAAUACCCGUGGGAAACCAUGGUUAAUACCGCAUACGCCCGGUAACGGGGAAAGCCGCAAGGCGGAGGGUGACGGGGCUGCGCCCGAUUAGCUAGUUGGUGGGGUAAUGGCCUACCAAGGCGUCGAUCGGUAACUGGUCUGAGAGGAUGACCAGUCACAUUGGGAUUGAGAACGGCCCAAAUCCCUACGGGGAGCAGCAGUGAGGAAUCUUCCACAAUGGGCGCAA
rnacentral:rRNA from 1 species